CUACGGGAUGCUCCAGUGGGGAAUAUUGCACAAUGGGCGCAAGCCUGAUGCAGCCAUGCCGCGUGUAUGAAGAAGGCCUUCGGGUUGUAAAGUACUUUCAGCGGGGAGGAAGGGAGUAAAGUUAAUACCUUUGCUCAUUGACGUUACCCGCAGAAGAAGCACCGGCUAACUCCGUGCCAGCAGCCGCGGUAAUACGGAGGGUGCAAGCGUUAAUCGGAAUUACUGGGCGUAAAGCGCACGCAGGCGGUUUGUUAAGUCAGAUGUGAAAUCCCCGGGCUCAACCUGGGAACUGCAUCUGAUACUGGCAAGCUUGAGUCUCGUAGAGGGGGGUAGAAUUCCAGGUGUAGCGGUGAAAUGCGUAGAGAUCUGGAGGAAUACCGGUGGCGAAGGCGGCCCCCUGGACGAAGACUGACGCUCAGGUGCGAAAGCUUGGGGAGCAAACAGGAUUAGAUACCCUGGUAGUC
rnacentral:rRNA from 1 species